rnacentral:tRNA from 1 species
GCACAGAUGGCUGAAUAGUGAGGCAGCGAAUUGCAAAUUCGUAUGAUGCGGGUGCGAAUCCCGCUCUGUGCU